GAGGUGGUACUAGAAAGAUGAUGAUUGUAUUUGCAAAUGCAAAUUUGAAACAUAUGAAAACCUAUGGAAAAAAAUAGAGGAGAUUUGAGCAGUAAAAUCAAAACUUUUAUUAGUUCUUCCAAGACAUGAAUAGAGAAUGUGAUCUUCAUAAGGACAGCUCUAUUACUUUUUCUAUUAGAGCGAAUUUUCAGUCCUGCUUCCCCACUUUUUUUUUCUUUUAGCUGAAGUUUUCAUCUGGCAAUAUUGCAACCUUUUCAACCAAACUACUGUUACCUUGGUCAUGUAUAGCUCCAGAAACAUCAUCAAAACUUUCUGUGGCCCAUAAGCCUGUCUCUUAAUGGGGGAGUUGCCACUCAGAAAGAGUGGUCUUAUAUUCCUGGAGUAAAUGCUCAUACAGUCAAAUGGGCUUUGGGAACCAAAGAAAAUAAUGUGAGGUUCACAACGUCUCCAACUUAAUGUAUUUCCCCCCUCCUCCUCGUUUACCCAGUUUUCCAAGAAAUCAGCCAGGCAAAGCUGUUCAAAUCUGAUGCUGGUAAAACUGUGAAAGUUUAGCAUAAAAAAAGGAGAAGCAUUUCUAUAUGCCACAGUGAAUACCAAAACAUAUUUGAUAACACUGGUUUAAUGUGUGACAAAGCAGUUUUUAGUAUAACAUUUUAUAUUAUCUCUUUGCAUAAUACCUAGCAGAUCUUUGGCAGUGUGAUCCAUAAAGACAAAAUAAUACAUAAAUGAUGCAGUACAAAGAAAGAUAAAUUGAGGGCAUAGAUUUCCUUUUGAGCUCCGAGCUGUACCAUGAGGGGAAGCACAUUCAAAUAACUUCUGUCCAUCCACAAAAGUCAGAAUACCUCAUCCUUGCAGUUUUAAAACUAAAUUCUUGUCACUCUAAGUGAUGCUUUGGCUGGACCACAAUCAACAGAAUUUCAAGAUCUCUGGGAUGAACAAGUUCUUAUUAACCUAUCCAUUCUUGGGUUAAAGGCACUGAGAAAUCUCUAUGUUCUCUUGUAGGGAGGUGAUAAUGACUGACCAUGUACCACCAGCUCUUCAAGUUUCUCCUUCCAACACUCUCUGCUCACAGUCCCACAGUGUUUUCAGUGUUCAGGUGCUGUAACUUGAGAUAAUAUCCAGAGUGCUUGAAUUGAAACUUCUAUGAAGAAUACACACUCAUUUGUCCCCGAACAAGAAAAAAUGUGAACAUAUACGUUGUGUUUGUACCUCUGAUAUGAUAUGGGAAUCUUGAUGAUGGAGUAUCCAAGCACUGCAUGUGGUUCUUGAACUUCUGUGAGCAAGCAGAGGUGGAUAAUUCAUCCUGGCAGUUUUAAAGUGCAAUAAACACCAGGAACCUGAAAAGAGGUAAAGUUUUUCAAAUUAUUUACCGUUAAUUAUUUUUAGUGAAGAGUACACUUAGCAUUUUAAAGAUGCAAUGAAAAUCUUAUGCCGACUGAGAAAAGCAUCUACAUGAAAAACAAUUUCUUAUUUUCUCCCAGGAUGGAUUCUUAUUUUUUAAACUUUAUCCGGUGUUGUUCCUGACCUUCAUAUUUUUGCAAGCCAACAAUUACUAUUCAUGGCAUUUUCCAUCAGAUUUGUUCGCUGUUAUGUAUUGCUUCUAAAAUUACAGGUCUUGUCCAGUUUUAAUUUUUUUUCCUU